rnacentral:rRNA from 1 species
CACUCCUGCGGGAGGCAGCAGUGGGGAAUAUUGGACAAUGGGCGCAAGCCUGAUCCAGCCAUGCCGCGUGAGUGAUGAAGGCCCUAGGGUUGUAAAGCUCUUUCACCGGAGAAGAUAAUGACGGUAUCCGGAGAAGAAGCCCCGGCUAACUUCGUGCCAGCAGCCGCGGUAAUACGAAGGGGGCUAGCGUUGUUCGGAAUUACUGGGCGUAAAGCGCACGUAGGCGGAUCGAUCAGUCAGGGGUGAAAUCCCAGGGCUCAACCCUGGAACUGCCUUUGAUACUGUCGAUCUGGAGUAUGGAAGAGGUGAGUGGAAUUCCGAGUGUAGAGGUGAAAUUCGUAGAUAUUCGGAGGAACACCAGUGGCGAAGGCGGCUCACUGGUCCAUUACUGACGCUGAGGUGCGAAAGCGUGGGGAGCAAACAGGAUUAGAAACCCGGGUAGUCCCAUGA